UACGAAGGGGGCUAGCGUUGCUCGGAAUCACUGGGCGUAAAGCGCACGUAGGCGGCUUUCUAAGUCGGGGGUGAAAUCCUGGAGCUCAACUCCAGAACUGCCUUCGAUACUGGAGAGCUCGAGUCCGGGAGAGGUGAGUGGAACUGCGAGUGUAGAGGUGAAAUUCGUAGAUAUUCGCAAGAACACCAGUGGCGAAGGCGGCUCACUGGCCCGGUACUGACGCUGAGGUGCGAAAGCGUGGGGAGCAAACAGG
rnacentral:rRNA from 1 species